rnacentral:rRNA from 1 species
CCUACGGGUGGCAGCAGUAGGGAAUCUUCCACAAUGGGCGAAAGCCUGAUGGAGCAACGCCGCGGGGGUGAAGAAGGUCUUCGGAUCGUAAAACCCUGUUGUUAGAGAAGAAAGUGCGUGAGAGUAACUGUUCACGUUUCGACGGUAUCUAACAAGAAAGCCACGGCUAACUACGAGAAAGCAGCCGCGGUAAGACGUAGGUGGCAAGCGUUAUCCGGAUUUAUGUGGCGUAAAGGGAACGCAGGCGGUCUUUUAAGUCUGAUGUGAAAGCCUUGGGCUUAACCGGAGUAGUGCAUUGGAAACUGGGAGACUUGAGUGCAGAAGAGGAGAGUGGAACUCCAUGUGUAGCGGUGAAAUGCGUAGAUAUAUGGAAGAACACCAGUGGCGAAAGCGGCUCUCUGGUCUGUAACUGACGCUGAGGUUCGAAAGCGUGGGUAGCAAACAGGAUUAGAUACCCGGGUAGUC